rnacentral:hammerhead_ribozyme from 1 species
AUCCAGUUGACAAGUCUCAAAUAGGACGAAACGCAGGUCCUAGAU